AUUUUUGUGUAAUCUGCAGUUGUCGUCUCAAGGAGCAGGGCACGACGAAAUUGAUUUCGAGUUUCUGGGAAAUUCAUCAGGCCAGCCUUACACUGUUCAUACCAACGUUUAUUCUCAGGGAAAAGGCAACAAAGAACAACAGUUUCACCUCUGGUUCGAUCCUACCAUAUCGUGCCACACCUACUCUAUUAUUUGGAACUCUCGACGCAUCAUGUACGUUAAAAAAUGAACUUCCUUCUUAAUCUAGUACAUAUACAAAACAUCAUGUCUGACAUUUUGGGGAUUAAUUGUCCAGAUUUUUGGUGGAUAACAUACCAAUAAGAGUGUACAACAACCACGAAGCACUUGGGGUUGCAUUUCCAAAGAAUCAAGCAAUGAGAGUGUACGCGAGCCUAUGGAAUCACCUCUGGUUCGAUCCUACCAUAUCGUGCCACACCUACUCUAUUAUUUGGAACUCUCGACGCAUCAUGUACGUUAAAAAAUGAACUUCCUUCUUAAUCUAGUACAUAUACAAAACAUCAUGUCUGACAUUUUGGGGAUUAAUUGUCCAGAUUUUUGGUGGAUAACAUACCAAUAAGAGUGUACAACAACCACGAAGCACUUGGGGUUACAUUUCCAAAGAAUCAGGCAAUGAGAGUGUACGCGAGCCUAUGGAAUGCUGAUGACUGGGCAAC
rnacentral:lncRNA from 1 species